rnacentral:rRNA from 1 species
GACGAACGCUGGCGGCGUGCUUAACACAUGCAAGUCGAACGAUGAAGCCGGAGCUUGCUCUGGUGGAUUAGUGGCGAACGGGUGAGUAACACGUGAGUAACCUGCCCUUGACUCUGGGAUAAGCGUUGGAAACGACGUCUAAUACCGGAUACGAGCUAGGACCGCAUGGUCACUAGCUGGAAAGAACUUCGGUCAAGGAUGGACUCGCGGCCUAUCAGCUAGUUGGUGAGGUAACGGCUCACCAAGGCGACGACGGGUAGCCGGCCUGAGAGGGUGACCGGCCAAACUGGGACUGAGACACGGCCCAGACUCCUACGGGAGGCAGCAGUGGGGAAUAUUGCACAAUGGGCGCAAGCCUGAUGCAGCAACGCCGCGUGAGGGACGACGGCCUUCGGGUUGUAAACCUCUUUUAGCAGGGAAGAAGCGCAAGUGACGGUACCUGCAGAAAAAGCACCGGCUAACUACGUGCCAGCCGCCGCAGUAACAC